ACAAAAAAUUAGCUGGUCGAGGUGGCGGGCACCUGUAGUCCCAGCUACUCAGGAGGCUGAGGCAGGGGAAUGGCGUGAACCCGGGAGGCAGAGCUUGCAGUGAGCCGAGAUCAUGCCAUUGCACUCCAGCCUGGGCGAUAGAGCGAGACUCAAAAAAAAAAAAAAAAAAAAAAAUCCAAUCAGAUCACAUCGCAGCCUGCACUUGGAAGAAAGUCCGAGCUCCCCACUCCCAGGUGCUGGCCCACGCCCCUUGCUCCCCACCGUCUGCCCACA
rnacentral:lncRNA from 1 species